rnacentral:tRNA from 1 species
CAGGGAGUAGUUUAAAGUAAGAAU